AUUGAACGCUGGCGGCAGGCCUAACACAUGCAAGUCGAACGAGUGGCGGACGGGUGAGUAAGGUCUGGGAAACUGUCUGAUGGAGGGGGAUAACUACUGGCAACUGUUUCUAAUACCGCAUACCAUCAUAUGUGCCCAGAUGGGAUUAGUUAGUUGGUGGGGUAACGGCUCACCAAGGCGACGAUCCCUAGCUGGUCUGAGAGGAUGACCAGCCACACUGGGACUGAGACACGGUCCAGACUACUACGGGAGGCAGCAGUGGGGAAUAUUGCAAAAGGGGCGCAAGCCUGAUGCAGCCAUGCCGCGUGUAUGAAGAAGGCCUUCGGGUUGUAAAGUACUUUCAGCGGGGAGGCGGUACCCGCAGAAGAAGCACCGGCUAACUCCGUGCCAGCAGCCGCGGUAAUAA
rnacentral:rRNA from 1 species